rnacentral:rRNA from 1 species
AUGCGCAUAGUUGCCACCGUCACCGUUCACCCAAGGGUUGUUCGACAGUGGAUCAACAAUGUAUCCAACUCCCUCGAAAAGGUAGAGACGAGGGUCAUCGGUCUUGACACAAAGUACACGGAGUGUGCCCCUGGGAAGAUCCAGCGCACCGCCGUCCUUCAGCUGUGCCUCGAAGAUGAUGUUUUGGUGUACCACAUCAUACACUCGCCCUCCAUACCAGGUGAGCUUCAUGAUUUCUUGUCUCGGGAGGAUGUAUACUUCUGUGGGACAGCCAUCAAAGGGGACAAACAGAAGCUGGAGUCGUACAACCUUGACUUGAAAAGCAUCGCUGACCUACAAACCAGAAUCAAAAUUCCUGUAGAAGAUUGUGAUAAACAGACACCAUCCCUAGUCGACAUAGCAAAUUUUGUGCUCGGUACAAAUCUUCAGAAGGGUGACGAGACGGUGGCAUUAAGGUCGUCUGGAUGGGAGAAUUAUCCCUUGACGUAUGAGCGGAUAAAAUAUGCUGCCCUCGAUGCCCGUGUGAGUUUCAAGAUAGCUGCAAGGUCCAAAGAGCUUGUUGCGAAGCCGUCUCCCACAAAGAAUGAGAACAACAAGAAGAAGAAGAAGAAGAAGAAGAAGAAGAAGAAGAAGAAGAAGAAGAAGAAGAAGAAGAAAAGGUUGCACCAGCAGUAG